rnacentral:rRNA from 1 species
GAUGAACGCUGGCGGCGUGCCUAAUACAUGCAAGUCGAGCGAACGGACGAGAAGCUUGCUUCUCUGAUGUUAGCGGCGGACGGGUGAGUAACACGUGGAUAACCUACCUAUAAGACUGGGAUAACUUCGGGAAACCGGAGCUAAUACCGGAUAAUAUUUUGAACCGCAUGGUUCAAAAGUGAAAGACGGUCUUGCUGUCACUUAUAGAUGGAUCCGCGCUGCAUUAGCUAGUUGGUAAGGUAACGGCUUACCAAGGCAACGAUGCAUAGCCGACCUGAGAGGGUGAUCGGCCACACUGGAACUGAGACACGGUCCAGACUCCUACGGGAGGCAGCAGUAGGGAAUCUUCCGCAAUGGGCGAAAGCCUGACGGAGCAACGCCGCGUGAGUGAUGAAGGUCUUCGGUUCGUAAAACUCUAUUAUUAGGGAAGAACAUAUGUGUAAGUAACUGUGCACAUCUUGACGGUACCUAAUCAGAAAGCCACGGCUAACUACGUG